UACGUAGGGUGCGAGCGUUGUCCGGAAUUAUUGGGCGUAAAGGGCGCGUAGGCGGCUAGAUGUGUCAAAGGUGAAAUCCCUCGGCUCAACUGAGGAACUGCCUUUGAAACUGUCUGGCUUGAGGCCGGGAGAGGGUAGCGGAAUUCCCAGUGUAGCGGUGAAAUGCGUAGAUAUUGGGAGGAACACCAGUGGCGAAGGCGGCUACCUGGACCGGUUCUGACGCUGAGGCGCGAAAGCGUGGGGAGCAAACAGG
rnacentral:rRNA from 1 species